UACAGAGGGUGCAAGCGUUGUUCGGAAUUAUUGGGCGUAAAGCGCACGUAGGCGGCCUGUUAAGUCGGAUGUGAAAGCCCCGGGCUCAACCCGGGAAGUGCAUUCGAAACUGGCGGGCUUGAAUAUGGAAGAGGGUCGCGGAAUUCCCGGUGUAGAGGUGAAAUUCGUAGAUAUCGGGAGGAACACCAGUGGCGAAGGCGGCGACCUGGGCCAAUAUUGACGCUGAGGUGCGAAAGCGUGGGGAGCAAACAGG
rnacentral:rRNA from 1 species